GGUUUCCAAUAUCCAUUAGUACAUUCUCUGGUAAACAAUUUAACCUCAGCUGACUAAAAUUUUCCCUGAUAUACAAUAUGCAGCCUUUCUCCCUUGUGCUCACAGAGGAGGCCAAUCGGGCCUUACUUCUCCUCUGGUCCCGACAGUCUGUGGACCAUGUGGCUCAGGGUAUUCCAGGUCAGUCUUUCCUAGGCCUUGAUGUCAGGAACGGAACCUUCCUGUUCUUGGGUUCUCACUCAUCAACUAUCUUCAGCAGAAACCAUAGUGAGACUAGAGAAGCACAAAGACUUACUUGAAAGGAAAAAAAAGUUUUAAUUAAUUGAGUACAGUCCCGACUCUUAACAGGAAAUACUAGAGAUCCUGAUCGCAGUAAAGAUUCAUCAGACACCAUCAUUUCCUACUGUCUUCUCCUACAUGGACACUGAUACCAGGUACUCUGACUGAGAAUGAAGCAGACACUGAGGAAAACAGGGCUGUGAAAUAGAGACAUAAUGUACUGAUGAUAUCAUUAAGACCCUGGAUCAAACAAUUCUGAAGCCAGAUUCAGCUAUUACAUUCAUAAUCAUAUAUGUCAACAAUAUGUCAACAAUUUCAUUUUUUUGGUUGAUUUAUUUUGAGAUUGGAGCCUAUCACUUUCAAUAAAAAUAUCUUUCUUUUUAAA
rnacentral:lncRNA from 1 species